AUGCCUGCUUCAGCAGCAUGUAUACUAAAAUUGGAAUGACGCAGAAAAGAUUAGCAUGGUUCUUGUGCGAGGAUGACAUGCAUAUUCUUGAAACAUUCUAUAUUAAA
ensembl:snRNA U6 U6 spliceosomal RNA